rnacentral:RNase_P_RNA from 1 species
GCAGAGGGCUGGGCGAUCGCCGGUUUGCAGGCAACUGCAGGCGGGAGGAAAGUCCGGGCGCCAUAGGACAGGACGGUGGAUAACGUCCACCGAUCGUGAGACCAGGGAUAGUGCCACAGAAAAGAUACCGCCGAUGGGGGCUGUUGGCCGCUGGCUCUUGGCUUUUAGCUUGUUGUUGGGGGGAAUGUUCCCUUCACACAGGAGCCAGAUGCCAAGAGCCAGCGGCCAACAGCCUCACAGGUAAGGGUGAAAUGGUGCGGUAAGAGCGCACCAGCAGGCGGGGUGACUCGCUUGGCUAGGUAAACCCCGUCCGGCGCAAGGCCAAACAGAGAGCAGAGUCGGUCCGGCUCGUUACGACUCUCGGGUGGGCUGCUAGAGGCGUGCGAGCAAUCGUCGUCGUAGAGGAAUGAUCGUCGCUUGCACCUCGCGUGUGAGUACAGAACCCGGCUUACAGGCCCUCUGCGGUU